AUGUCAAUACACUCGGAGGGUUCCAAUAUCAAGAUCCCGAAAAAAACAUUGGCUCCCAUCGUGAGUGACGAUGACAUACCCUCUGUUGCUAUCAGAACUUCAGUCAACACAAACACUGCAAAGAGUCAGGGUACUGGCUGGAGAAAUAGUCAUGGUAUACCUAGGGGCAUGAUAAUGAGUUCUGUCAGUGGGUAUCCAAAUGUAUACAGAAAGUAUAGCUUUGCCCCUAGAAUUCAGGUAGCUUCCACUACAACUUCCUCUGCCCAAAGCGAUACUCUAGCCCCAAUGACAUUCAAAUCAGGUCCACGAGAAGUCCAACUUGCGUCCAUAGAAGACGACCUAGUCUCUAACAGCCUGCAUGCCUCCAGCAAUGUCCAGUCUUCAGAAGUGCAGACUACUACCACUGACAUGUCUGGCUCUACCACGAGAUCCGGUAGGCCUUGGUUUCUUAGAUCUACACCUAGCGAGGAUAACGAGGCUAAAAUCGGCCAUGUUUUCAAGGGAUCCCAAACAAUCCUACUACAAUCUCCCCAGAGUGAGAGUCUAAAACAUGUUCAGCCAACUUUUAGUCUGCCCGGCAACAAUGUUUUCCAUGACCGUUUGACUGCAGGAGAGGAUAAACCUGGUCCAACAAGCUCGGCCCCUUUCAAGCCUGAAGCUAGAUUCAACAUGUUUGGGUCUGUAAUUUACAGACUGCCCAAAGGUUCCAGAUCCAAACAGAAUGAAUGUGUUCUGGGCAUAAAGCUCCCAGGUGAAACUAGGCCCUCGGGCAGCAAUGUAUCUGCCCCUGCUGAAAUCCAGCCCACCUCCAUUACUUUGACAACAGCCAGUCAGAGCCAAAAUGUCCUCAGUAAAGAAACUUCUCAAAGCAGUGACUCAUUUCACAAAACUGUGAAUCAUUCUAGUUAUGAAGACCCCAAGUCUCACCCACGUGACUCGGACAGAAAUGAAAUGACAAGCAAUCCCUUUAGAUUCAUAUCUGGUAAACUCUCAAAAAGCCAGAAGAGCUAUGCUUUCAUGGGCUUCCAAAAACCUAUAAGCAAAGCAGGAUCAACCCAGGACAAGGAUGCUGAUCUCUUUGCACAAACAGUGCCUCCCAUCAACAAAGCGCAUCCACCCCCAGUUGUGCCCACCUCUGCCCCCAGUGUCCACCCAAGCCCUCCCAGAAUCCAAGUUCAACCAGGCCUAAGCAUCACUGAACUCACAGAGAGUCGCAAACCCACCAGCAGCGUUGUAAAGGGCAGACGUAUGAAGGUGAAUCGCGUGCAGAGCCAACAUAGUAUUUCACCUUCGAACGACAGCGCCUCCCAACCAGCUAAGCCCCAAACUAUGAGGUUCAAGGCUAUCCAAUUUGCUGAUAUCCUAGGAAGUGCCUCUUUCAGUGGAAUCCAACCCAGGGGAAGCUCCAGACACCGUGUGCAGUCAACAUCCAAUACCCCAGCAUCAGGUGAAGAUGGUGGCGCACUGGACAAAGACCAACCAACACCGAGGGUUGGGGUCACCCCAAGGUGA
rnacentral:lncRNA from 1 species